rnacentral:rRNA from 1 species
AUUGAACGCUGGCGGCAUGCUUUACACAUGCAAGUCGAACGGUAACAGGCCGCAAGGUGCUGACGAGUGGCGAACGGGUGAGUAAUGCAUCGGAACGUGCCCAGUCGUGGGGGAUAACUACUCGAAAGAGUAGCUAAUACCGCAUACGAUCUAUGGAUGAAAGCGGGGGACCGUAAGGCCUCGCGCGAUUGGAGCGGCCGAUGUCAGAUUAGGUAGUUGGUGGGGUAAAGGCUCACCAAGCCAACGAUCUGUAGCUGGUCUGAGAGGACGACCAGCCACACUGGGACUGAGACACGGCCCAGACUCCUACGGGAGGCAGCAGUGGGGAAUUUUGGACAGUGGGCGCAAGCCUGAUCCAGCAAUGCCGCGUGCAGGAAGAAGGCCUUCGGGUUGUAAACUGCUUUUGUACGGAACGAAACGGCUCUGGUUAAUACCCGGGGCUAAUGACGGUACCGUAAGAAUAAGCACCGGCUAACUACGUG